rnacentral:lncRNA from 1 species
AGUAACUGCAAUUGUCUCCUUCAGUAACACGCAGGAGAGGGGCAGGGAUCUGAGCUGGGGUGUCCCAGGCAGCCCCAGUCCCCCUCCCUCAACUACUGCCACCCACCAGGGCUUCACAGUGGUGUUGGGUGGGGGAGGCUAAAAGUCCCCAAACUAAACUAAACCAGAGCCUCAGUUUCCCCCCAGGGCCUGAGGACCUCCUGACUUACUCCGGGGUUCUGCUGUGGCAGGCCUUGAAAGGCUUUCUGGAAUCUUAGGGGAACAGACAUCUUUACCAAGCACUGAUGAAGGGGAGCUUGGAAUUUCCAUCUUGAAACUUGAUGUGAGAGACCUUGAAACUGCAUGUGGGGGACCUUGAAGCUGCCACAGCACACCUAGGUUGGUCCCGGACAUACCUCUGCCACUUGGACUUGGGGAGCCCUCUAAAUCUUCCCAGGCACUGGCCCAGAGGGUCUGGAAAUUUUUCCUAGGGCUUGGGCAUGGGGAGCCUCCAAAUUCUCAUGACGGGGGGUCUCAAAACUCCCAUUUCGAGGCUCACACCCUUCUGGGUGGCCCUGGGAAGGUGGGAGGUGUGGCCAUUCUUGAGGUGGGAGACUGAGGUACAGAGAGGAGGCCUGAAGGGGGUUUGGGCCUGAGCUCCUCUGAUCCCAGGGCCUAGGGAGGGGCCCAGGGCCCAGGGCCAGCAGCCAGCCCCCCCAAGGACGGAACUCCAGUUUCAGACCCCCACCCCUGUCCCAGGUGACCCUGAGGUCUUCCCUGGAGAUGGCGAAAGUUCAGGGCCCAGAGCUGCAGACGCGAGCAGAGGUGCUACCCCGUGAGAAGGGGCGUGGCCAGGAUCGGGGGUGUGGCCAAGCCGCAAUAAGGGGUGGGGCCAGAGCUGGGGCGGGGCCAGAGUCAGGGUCACCAAUUGGGGGACGCGCCGAGGUCCCAGAGAGGCGGUGGGUAGGUGGGGGCGGGGUCCAGGUGGACAGAGACCACGUGUCUGUCCAGUCUUCUGAUUCUACCUCGCCCCAGGAGAGAUGGUGAAAUUAAAGCGGAAGCUUCGGGAAACUUCGAUGAAUUAUCCACACGGCCAGGCAGAUCUGUCAGACGACCCGCCUCCUGUCUUCCCGUGUCAGUGUCCCUUCUGCCUCCGGGAGCGCCUCCUGCGUGGACGGCGUCCUCCGCUCUUUCGUGGGUGUGUUCACAUGGUUCCCAUGAGCCCUACAGGGCAGGAGCUGCUUCUAUUCCCGCCUCCCAGAGACAGAGGCGUUGCGAGAGACACGCUGAAGAAUACCGCGGACGUCUGGCUGUCUGCCCUGAGCGCGGCCCUUUAGUGGGUCAGCCCUUGGACACCACGCCGCAAGGUGAGGGGGUCUUAGGUUCCUGCCCCGGCCCAGGAGAGGCAGGUGUCCAGGCCUCCGGCUCUGUGCUCUCUGAAGGGUCUGCGGGCCAUGGCGACCCUUGCUGGCAGGUGGUGGGACACAGCGGCUGGCCCUCUCACCUCCACCUCAAUCCUGAUCUCCUCCCUGUGCCAUUCCCUCCUGAUGGGCCCCUCUCAGGUGAAACCCCUGAUCCCACACCUCCAAGCCCAGGUUGAUGGGAGGAUAAUGAGCAGGACUGGCUGAGGGGAGCUGUCAGAGUUCCAAGGGCUCCCACACCCAUCCCUACACCAGCCUCUUAGGGAUUUUUAAAAUGCAAACUGCCCAAAGCUAUCGCCAGAGACUGCUUCCCCUGCCAAUCUCCAGCUCCCUGGUUGCCCCCCCAGAGGCCACGCUAUGACCUGUGACUUUGGAUAAAAGUCCCCCACCCCAAUUUCAGAAAUUUACACAAAUUGUUGUCCUCCUUACUCUUUAAACUAAUGCAUCACGGAGAAAAGUCGCUUCAGCCUUUUCUUGGUUGUAUAGUAUUCCAUCGUAUGGCUGGACGACCACAGAUCAAAACAGUACCAAAUUGACAGACGUUUGUUUUCCCAUUUUUGCAAUUACAAAAAGUGUGGCAAGACGUGGGUCAUUUUGCACUCAUAUACAUGUAUCUGUAAAAA